GACGAACGCUGGCGGCGUGCUUAACACAUGCAAGUCGAACGGAAAGGCCCUGCUUUUGUGGGGUGCUCGAGUGGCGAACGGGUGAGUAACACGUGAGUAACCUGCCCUUGACUUUGGGAUAACUUCAGGAAACUGGGGCUAAUACCGGAUAGGAGCUCCUGCUGCAUGGUGGGGGUUGGAAAGUUUCGGCGGUUGGGGAUGGACUCGCGGCUUAUCAGCUUGUUGGUGGGGUAGUGGCUUACCAAGGCUUUGACGGGUAGCCGGCCUGAGAGGGUGACCGGCCACAUUGGGACUGAGAUACGGCGCAGACUCCUACGGGAGGCAGCAGUGGGGAAUAUUGCACAGUGGGCGGAAGCCUGAUGCAGCAACGCCGCGUGCGGGAUGACGGCCUUCGGGUUGUAAACCGCUUUCGCCUGUGACGAAGCGUGAGUGACGGUAAUGGGUAAAGAAGCACCGGCUAACUAUGUG
rnacentral:rRNA from 1 species